CCUUGCCUCAGGAUGCACUCAGCUGGGGUGAAGCCGUGAACCCAAGGCAGAGGGGGCUGGAGGGCAGGUUAAAGAACACCAGAUACCAGAAACCCUGGGCUUUUCUGGCCACCAGCCCCUGCAGCCUCCUCUCCUGGCUGCUGACCACACCCUCAGAGCUGGAUCUACAGGCCUGGAGGUGCCCUGGGCCCCAGGCACUCCUGUCCCCUCUCUGCCCGGAGCUGUGGACCACCCGUCUCCGCUGUGCACUGUGAGAAGAGGCAAAGAGUACAGGCCAAAUCUCACUUUGUGAACUCCCCUGUAUGACUUGGGAAACUAAGGCACAGAGCAAACCUGGGCCUUGGCCUAGAUCAGGCCACAAUAAGCAAGACCUCCUGGGGAUGCAGGACCCCCAAGGCAGGCCCCUAAACCAAAUAAAAUUGAACCCCAGAGGUUAGGUAGUCCCUCCUCUGACAUACCCCAUAGAGAGGAACCUAGUCACCAGGAUUUAGCAGGGGUGGGAGCAGGCUCUGGUGGCCCAGGUCCCACCUGCUAUGUGACUUUGGGCACAUCCCUUCUUUUCUUUGAGCCCCCAGUCUGUAAAAACAAGCGAGGUCUACGAACCUUCAGCAAACCCUCCCUCCUGAAGCCAGGGUGAAAAUGAACAAGGCCCCCUCAGCACAAAGCCGGCUCCUCGCCAGCCCCACACACACCCCACAUCCCCUGCUCCCCCAGAAUCACCCCCGGCCUACCCAGGACUUGGCAUCCCUUCAUCCACCCUCGCUGCUCUGGACCUUUGCACCCUUAGUUCCUCCUCAGUGGUGCUCUUGCCCCUCAGACAGGAAUCCAGAGCUCCUGGGUCACCAAGAGCUGGUGAGCACGAUCACUGCGGUCUGACAAGCUCUGACUUUCAACCGGGAACCAACCCUGGAGCAGAAGCAGAGAGCCUGGGGGCAGGAGCCGGCUGUGGACACAGCUCCUGGAAUGAGACAGCACAGAAGGAGGGUCACAGGAUGGCUUUAGGGACUAGGCUACAGCACCACUUGUCCUUCUGUCCCGGGCUGGCUUUUCUGAUUCUUCAGGGGAGUCAGGGAUUCCUGCCCCAGGCUCCCCACACGGCAGUCUCAUGGCAGGAGUCUGGUGAUGAUCCACACAACUGCGCCUAUUAGGAAUGAGCUUCUGCUGGGACUGCCCCCUCUGUGGGACCCCGGGCUGUGCAGGCGCCUCAGGCUGAGGAGAGACCCCCUCCACCAGGACAGCCCCAAAGACACGACAGGGUCUAGUGAUGUGCCCCAGAGAUGCCUAUUGGCAGACAGGGUAGGUCUGCGUCCCUCCUUCUCAGCCACCACCCGUCCCCCUGAGAGACUUGAGGAGAAGGGGGCAGGAGAGGAGGCACCAAGGCUGCUCCUACAGCUGGAGUGAACACUGAGCGGAGAACCAAUUCACACCAGCAGGGCAGGCCCAUAACUUAGCACCACUUGGUCAUCUCGUGAAAGUGUUACUCCCUCUUCCCCAUGAACAUCGUCCUCUGGGAUUAGCCCUGUGUCUGUGUUGGAUGUGAGAGGGACACAGUAGAGCCUGCUACCUGAGGCCAACAGGGAUACUGAAGCUCAGAGAUGUUAAGCUGUCUUGGGAAAGGGGAUCAGCAGACCCACCAGAGGGGUGGGAAAGAGUCAGAGGCAAAGCUGAGGCCACUACUGGGUAGAAGACACCGCAAAUCUCCAGCCCCGCAUCAGGCUGUCUGCUGUCAGCACAGGACCUGCUUCUUAUCUUCUGUCCCUCUCUCUCUCUGCCUCUCCCCCUCUCAAAAAUAAACAUUUAAAAAAAUGUUUAUAUACUUUAAAAAAGUAAUUAAGGACAGAAGGAGACACCCUGUCCAGAAUUAUCCUCCUUGCUCCUCCCUAGAGGUGGCUUCCACAUUCUUAGUGAGAAAUUUCAGAGGGACGGGGCACAGAUGGGGACACAAGGCCUGGAGUGAAUACCCCCAAUUUUGCAUCCUAGGCACUUCACUUGCCUCACCCUAGUCCCAACCCUAUGGGGUCUCAGAACCCAAGCCCACUCCCAAAGCCCCUCCUCAGGGGGUCCAGGCUCUUCUCUCCCCACCCCUACAGCCAACCAGUGCACCACGACCAACCCUGUUCAUCCCCAAACAUCCCUCAAGUCCAGCCACUCCUCCCUGGCCUCCCAGCCACCAGCUAAGAGUUACCAGUUCCUUUCCUACCCCGGAGCCCUGCUCAGACCCUUCCAUGGCCCCCCCAGAUCUGGCCCCUCACUCUCUACACUCCGUCCCACCAAAAGGAGGCCCUUUUAGCUUCCGGCACACCCCAGGUACCUGACCCCCGCCUCUCCUGGAUCAUAUUCAUUGCAGCUCAGACGUCUUUCCUCCUGGGUUGGGAGUAAGCACACCUGUGCUCCACUAGCCGUCACAAAACCAUGUGGCCAGGGCGAUUAGUAUGUCUGCCUCCUCAGAGAGACCAAAGGUGCCGUGGGGCAGGGUCCAAUCUAGCCCACCCAGCCUUGUGUCUCUAGCCCUGGCUCUGCUGGCUGGCACAGAGGAGAUACCUAGUGAGCAACAAACGGAUGAGUGAAGGGGAUGUGACCAAUGAUGAAGUUUUGGGGUGAUCGGGGAUUCAUGGGGUUUGGAAUUCUUGAAAACGCCCUUGGUGCAAAAAGGUAAUUUUAUUAAAGCAUGGGGACAGGACAGGGAGAGCUGCACUGGGGUCAUGAUGGGUAACUCAUACCCUCAGGUUGGGAGGGGGUCAGUCAGGGAU